UAAGUGAACCUUGGUUUGCUGCUCAAGUGC
rnacentral:piRNA from 1 species